GAUGAAGAACGUAGCGAAAUGCGAUAAGUAAUGUGAAUUGCAGAAUUCAGUGAAUCAUCGAAUCUUUGAACGCACCUUGCACUCCUUGGUAUUCCGAGGAGUACGCCUGUUCGAGUGUUAUGAAGCUCUCAAAACGCAAUUGGCUUAAAACCUGAUUGUUGUUUUGGAUUUGAACUUUGCCGUGUUAUAACGGCUGGUUUUAAAAGUAUUAGCUGGUACUAGAACGAAUUGGUUCUACUCAACGUGAUAAUUAUCUGAUCGUUGAGGACAUUCCUUUCACGAGGAAUGGCCAUAGUAAAUUCAAUGGACUGCUUCUAAUCUGGCUUUAAUUCUUUAUUGGAUUAACCACUUUUCAAAUCUGACCUCGAAUCAGGUGGGACUACCCGCUGAACUUAAGCAUAUCAACACGCGGAGGA
rnacentral:misc_RNA from 1 species